rnacentral:misc_RNA from 1 species
UUUUUUUUUGUUUCUGUUUCGUGAGAGUGUGUUGUUUAAAUUCGAAUGCUUUUUGUUUGGCUUUUCUCUAUGGUUUUUACGGUUUUAACAAACCGCAGUGCUAGGCUAAAUUUAGCCAGAAAUUCAAAAUAGAACAAAUUGGUUUUUGAAAAUGCAGCAAAAACAGCAACAAUUCGUGUAACAAAUCGAAAACAACCACUAAUUUGUAUACUUGAUUUGAAUAAUAUUAGGCAAUGUGACUGUGAAGCGCCAACACUAAAUAAAAAGAAUCGAAACUAAGCUAAAAUCAAGAAGUGAUUUAAAAUACCCAAAACAGAAAAACUGUGCCGCUUUAGACGCUUUAUACGUUUCAAAGAACCGAAAAGGAAAUACUCUAACGCCUAGAGUAUUCAACAGACCAUUAAAAACCUGAUGGCAACAACAACAACCACGCAGGCAGCAGGAGCUGCACCAGCUCUCAAUCUAUUGCCCGCCAGCAAUAACAACAUAAAUAAUACACUGAACAACAACAAUAACAAUAAUACUAGUAGCAGUAAUAAUAACAACAACAACGUAAUAAGCCAGCCGAUUAAAAUACCGCUGACCGAGCGCUUCUCAUCGCAAACAUCGACGGGCUCGGCGGACAGCGGUGUAAUUGUUUCCAGUGCAUCGCAGCAGCAACUGCAGUUGCCACCACCACGCAGUAGCAGUGGCUCGCUGAGCCUGCCGCAGGCGCCACCUGGCGGCAAGUGGCGGCAGAAGCAGCAGCGCCAGCAGUUGCUGCUCAGCCAGGACAGCGGCAUCGAAAAUGGUGUCACCACCCGUCCAUCGAAAGCCAAGGACAUCCAGGGUGCGGGAAAAGCCAGUCACAAUGCCACAAGCGCGAAGGAGAGCGGCGCGCAGUCGAACAGCAGCAGCGAGAGCCUGGGCAGCAACUGCUCCGAGGCCCAGGAGCAGCAGAGAGUAAGGGCCUCCUCCGCCCUGGAGCUCAGCAGCGUGGACACUCCCGUGAUCGUGGGCAGUGUGGUCAGUGGCGGCAACAGCAUCUUGCGCAGCCGCAUUAAGUACAAGAGUACGAACAGCACCGGAACCCAGGGAUUCGAUGUGGAGGAUCGCAUCGAUGAGGUGGAUAUCUGUGAUGACGAUGACGUCGACUGCGAUGAUCGCGGAUCGGAGAUCGAGGAGGAGGACGACGGCGUCAAUGUGGACGACGAUGUCGAGGAGGCCGACAACCAGUCGGACAAUCAGUCGGGUAUUAUUAUAAACCUCAAGAGCAAAACCGAACAAGAGGAGGAGGUGGACGAGGUGGAUGCCAAGCCGAAGAACCGGCUUCUGCCACCGGAUCAGGCGGAACUCACAGUGGCGGCGGCCAUGGCACGUCGACGCGAUGCCAAGAGCCUGGCCACCGACGGCCACAUAUAUUUCCCGCUGCUCAAGAUCAGCGAGGAUCCGCACAUUGAUUCGAAGCUGAUCAAUCGCAAGGAUGGCCUCCAGGACACCAUGUAUUAUUUGGACGAGUUCGGCAGUCCCAAGUUGCGGGAGAAGUUCGCCCGCAAGCAGAAGCAGCUGCUCGCCAAGCAGCAGAAGCAGAUGAUGAAACGGGAGCGGAGGAGCGAGGAGCAGCGCAAGAAGCGAAACACCACCGUGGCAUCCAACUUGGCGGCCAGCGGAGCGGUGGUGGACGACACCAAAGAUGAUUACAAACAACAACCACACUGUGAUACUAGCUCUAGGAGCAAACAUAACUCGGUACCCAAUCCACCCAGCGGCCACCUCCAUCAGAACCACAACCACCUCGUUGUGGAUGUGCAAGAGGAUGUGGCUGAUGUGAAUGUGGUUGCCACCAGCGACGUGGACAGUGGUGCCGUCAAGAUGCGCCGCCACAGCCACGACAACCACUACGACCGAAUCCCCCGGAGCAAUGCUGCCACCAUCACCACCCGCCCUCAAAUCGACCACCAGUCCCAGAACACCGAGGACGUGGAGCAAGGAGCCGAGCCCCAAAUCGACGGCGAGCCAGAUCUGGACGCGGAUGCGGAUGCGGACAGCGAUGGGAGUGGCGAGAACGUUAAGACUGCCAAAUUGGCCAGAACACAGUCCUGCGUCAGUUGGACCAAAGUGGUGCAAAAGUUCAAGAACAUACUAGGUAAGUGUUGAUUGAAUGGAAAACACAAAUUCCUCAUAACUCCCGAGGGUUAUCGUAUCGGGUGAGAUUGUUCUAUGUACACACACAUAUGCACGCAUAGAUAAGUAUUCUUUAUACGUUUAUGGGUGCGGAAAAUUUUCGGAGAUUUAAUGUAAAGUGCUGGCUGUGCUCUCUGCUUCUAUUACUCGUCAUUAGUCAGCGAGUGAAAUGAUGAUGUAUAAUGCAAAAUAGUUUGAUGAAACAUACGCACUUUGUUGCAUAUUUUCUCUCUCUGUUGGGGAAGUUGGGUCAAUAACCCAGCAACGAGUGCAUUUUUCCAUUUUCCGAUAGCUUUGUCUUCAGAUAAACGAGGGCGGAGAUGAUAUACGCCUAUAUGGGAUAUUAUUCUCCCUUUUAUUGCCAUACGUACAUGUAAAAUGUGAUCUUGGCUUUAUUGUGGAGCGCCGACGAUAAGGCAAAGCGGAAUAUUCUCGCUGGGUCUCUACAACAGGCCAUUUCUCUGUUGUUGCAUUUGCUCGUUGAUAAGAAAAAAUCCGACGAUGGGCAGGGCAACAGCACCGACUUACGCCAGCUGAUGUUGAUUUCUUCGCCAACUCAUCUACAUAGUAUACUUUAUGACUGGCAAACUUUGGAUUAAGUGUAUAGGUUAUAAUUAUAACGACGAGUAGAAAUUAGUGCGCACAAAGUGACCGACGAGUUUUAGGACUGACUUAUGGAUAAUAUAACUUUUCCGACGAGCGAUCCAGUUACCUGCCCACCUGUGUCAUUCGAUAGCGUGUUUUUUUAAGAUUCCACUACCCACUAAAUGGUUGUCAGUUGCAUCACUUGGGAAUCUUGGCCCGUGAGCUUAGCUAGCAAACGAAGCGUUAACGCCGCGGUGCGAAAAGUGGUGAGUGGUGAGUGGUAAGUGGCUAGUGGCAUUCCCCUGGCUGGCUGCUACGAUUCCAGCGUAUGGAAGGCACUGUGUCAGAGCGUGCUUGUCACCUCGGUAUCAUCGCCAUAUCAUCAUCAGCCCAAGGCGGCGUCGUCUCAGUUCCCAUCCGGCAAGUCGUAGAAGUGAUUUGCAGCUUUUCGCAGAUGCUGACUGAUAGCAGGAAGGUUGGCGAACUAUAUACAUAUAUAUUUUUGCUUUACUUCACUCCGCCCAACUCCCGCCCCCGGUUUCUCGCUGUGUAGAGGUUAAGUCAAAGCUACGGCAGGCUGCAUGAUCAGAGAUCGGCAGUAAAGAGAUCAAGAGGCACGCGGCUAUACUGCUUACAGCGCUGAUUAUAUAUAGCCGUAUAUAUAGACCCGAUUCCCGUCGAGGGGGUGGCAGGGCAGAGAAUGGGAAGACGGGAGGAAUUGGGGAUUCGGGAGCAGAGAUUACGCCGUGUUAGCUGCUGCUGUUGUUUUUUUUGUGUUAACGCUCGACAAUCACGCGCUCGUUUCAUAAAACGGAUGACAGAGCAAAAAACUUUUCCAAAAAUAUCAAAGCCCAACAACAUGCAUAUAUUGAGCAGCUUGUGAAAUGUAUUUUUACGUAUAUGUACAUAUAUGUAUUAUAUACAUUCGAAUAUUCACUAAAUCUGUGACCAAACGGAGGCGUGUCUCUGUCGUCUUGUUAUUUUUUUUUUCGUUUUUUAUGCCGCCCUCUCACCUCAUUUCCUUUCUACCCUGCCCUGCCUCACUUUCGAUUUGGGAUUUGAAAUGGAAAAAUAUGUUUUUGUGUUUUUCAGUAAGUAGUUGGGAAUAUAAUAUAUAUAUUUGCAACUGGGAUUAUUAUUUGUUGGCAAAGAGGAGGGGGAAUCCCUAUAACCUGUUGAUGCUGACUAUUGAAGAGUAAGAUUAAAUGUGGGCUUGUUGUGGAUAUUGAUGGGUAUCUGAUAGUACAAUACUGCAAUUUGUGUAUUUGUAUUUGCACACUGAUAGCAAUGCAACAGGUGAUUAGUGAUUAGUGUUGCUAUUUUCGUCAGUUACAGCGAUGGAAAUGUUUUAUUUAGCAUUUGCCCAGCUGUUUUCCAUUGCCGAUACGCGUCUGCUUUUAUUUUAAUUUGCUUUAGUUGAUCUUAUGUUAUGUCAACUCGCAUUCAAUACUCGUGUUUGAUCAGCUGCGAAAAGAGCAUUUUCAAUGGGUUCUAGUUACUUACUAGAUAGCAGAUAUCAGAUAAUAGUAGCUCUCUUUAAAAUGCACCUCACGAACUAUUGAUUUCUCUUCGGCGAAAUGGCUUCCUCUGCUCCGAUUUGUUUGUGUUUUGCAUAUAUUUUCCGCACUUUGAGGUCUUCUAACGAUUGGGAAUGGAUGGGGAGGCAUUUGGACGUUUCGUAGAUACAAAAGAGAAGAGUGUUGCCCGAUUUUAUUGGUGGCAUUCAAAAGUAUGCUAUGGAAAGUUCUGCCGAUGCAGCCAAAAGACGCUGCGAUAAAAGAGACCGAUGAUAAUGAUGCAGGUGACAAUGGCUGGUGGAUUCAUUUCUAGAAGGUUGCCAAGUGCUGCAGAUUGUGGGGCAUCUCGUGAUCUCCGCCCGCGUGGGUCGUCAUCUGGCCAUCCCUCUUCCACCGCCUCGCUUAUCGAUCUCUGGCCUCUCUUUUGCCCAAAAACCGUGAUCGACAGAUAGCUUUCUUAGCCAAUAAAAUAAAAUAAAAUCAAUUCGAUUCAAUUAAAUGAAGUCUAUAUAUGCAAACUAUAUAUACUGCAUAUGCAUUAGCUAGUAGCACACAGAAAAAUGGCACUGAUAGAGUAUAUUUUUUAAUAGUCAGCAACGGCAAGGUGCAGAUUGCGAAUCAAAUAUAUAAAAAAUAGUCUAAAAAACAAGGGCUAUAUGUACUAUAUAUACAUACAUUUACCCUUCAGACGUUCCAGUCUUGGCUGAUCUCAAAGGGUUUAUUGUAAAGUGCUUUUCUUAUCCCUCAAAGUGGAUGGGGAAAUCCAAGUGGGGAAUAUCGUUCUACAUCCUUGAAAUAAAACUAGUUGGGUGUUGGGUAAAGGUUUUCAUUUGAAUCAAACACUCAACUCAGUUGGGGGAUAGCCUGCUCUAAUCGUGGGCAUUUUGGGCGUGGUUCAACUGAACCCAAAGUUCGUGCGGCGAUGACUCCACUCCACACAGAUAUCUAUCUAAUGGUGGGGUUGCAAAAUGCCAGUUUUCGGGGUAGAUCCCGAUUAUUGUUUGGUAACGCGCUUUCCAUUUUCCUUUAUUGCUCCAUCCGUCUGCGUUAGCUUCCCCCGCCUCCGCCGUUCCGAAUGGGGGGAUGUUCGCCCCUCAACGUGGUGGUACUGCGUCAUGGCAUUUUGCAUGCCACCGCACUGCGCCGCCCACAACCGCCCACGCCCCCUUUUGCGGCUGAGUGGUGCCAAAUGCUUGUAUAUCGAUUAGUUUCCGUCGACGGUGGCGGCGGCACAACAAAUUGCUUUGCCGCUCGGACAGCUCCAACUGUUCCAACAGCAGCAGCGGCCCAUGUUCCACCUUUCUGAAUGUUUGGCCAGCGGGAGGGGAGGAGUGUGUUUUACCCAUUGAUAAUUUGAUUGAUUUGGUCGCAGUCCUGUAGAAACUCAGUUGAUUAAUGUGAGAAUGGCAGCGGAGGAACCAAAACAGAAACGAUUUACAAUUGAUGAAUCGAUCAAAUCGAUAGAUGCACAUUGAAAUGUAUAUAACUGUAUGUAUAUUGAUCCUUUGCGAUUCUUUCGAAAGUGCGAAGGCCACAUCGUCGUCUGGCAAUAAUUUGUAUAUCGAUUGACAAAGUUUAUGGGCCAAUAAAGUAAAUUGGUUAAUAAGCUAGCACGCAAAUAUUUUAUUAUCAAUUUUAUUAUCAUUUACUAAAGCUUUUCAACUUUGAGUACCUUGCUAACAUUUCGCAUAUGGAUCUUAUCUCUUCGCCGUUGCAGAUGCAAUGAGAAACAAUGUCAAGGCUUUUGGGGCUUUAAUUUUCGUCGCAUUUGUGAUUCUAAUUGAUUCAUUAAAAUAAAAUAAAUUUGAUUUGCACUUGCACUUGCAUGUGCUGCGUGGUGUAUCCUUUGAUUGGUCUUCUCCGCCGUAUUCUCUUCGAAUUCUUCUGGCGAAUCUUCGUUCUCCGCUCUGCCUCAUUCUUCUCCGCCGCCGCAUUGAACUGUCAGUUGUCUGUCGUCAGAAAAAGGCAGGGGCCAUAAGGGGGCGUGGCUGUCGCAUGCUUGACCACGCUUGGCUGCCACUGUCUUUCUUCUGUCGACUGUCUUCAGUCGUUGUGUCUUCUGCGUCUCCGAACCAGCGUCUUCUCUGCCUUGGCCUUAUCGCAAUUUUCCCUCAAUUAAAAUUUUCCCCAAAACCGCAACAAAUUGUACGCGAUUAUUAUGAUGGGGAUGAUGGUCUAAGAUCAGUAGGCUCUUGCAUUUUUUCAAGCGCGUUUUAAACGAUCGAAGAAUCGGUGGACCGCAUUCGUGUGUGGGUCGCGUGUGGAACCCACCGAUCGCCCUUCGUGUGGCAUUCGAGUGCGAUCUCUGGGUCUCUCAGCUGUCGUUCGUCGUUCGUGUUGUCCUCUGCCUUCUUCCAUUUUUUGUCGCCAAUUGUGCAACGGUAGCUCGAGCGAUCGGAUCGUUAGAUCGAAAGCGGAACGAAACGGACGGAACGCAUCGGAUCUGAUCGGAGGAGGAGCACUCCUCUUUCUCUUUCUCUCGCUUCUUCUUCUCGCCCCUUCUUCCUAAAAAAAAGAACAUCCGAAAAAUCGAAGAUCGUACUAUUUCGGUUCGCAAUUUUUUUUUACUGUGAUAUUCCACUUUGUUGUUGUUUUCGGUGGUGCCGCGUGUUUGCAUUUUUGCUAUUUGAAGAUCGAUCGAUCGAUUGAUCUGCACACAAAGCGAACGAAACGUCAAGUGACCGAAAAUAAAAACUAGGCCAAAGCCUGCCAUCGUACACAGAGAGAAAAGCAUUUAGAGUUUGAGCUAAUUUAGCUGCCGUUCUGCGCAAGCUUUGAUUUCAUACAUACAUAUUUUUUUGCCGUGUAAGGCAGGCAUCACUCUACCGCCACUCGCACGGUGGUUCAGUGGAUCAGUAAACCAGUGGUGGCCAGUACUCCCCGCUCAAGGUGGAUAAGUCACAGGUGGUGCCCGUGGCGGUGCCGCGCGGUGUCCGCAAGGUGGUGCGAGUGGUUCGCAAAAAAA